rnacentral:lncRNA from 1 species
UCCACUCAUAUCUAAGAUAAAAUUACAUAUUUAAAUUAAAUAACUAAUGUCGCUAUAACUACCGCUACACCUAUCGAAUACUAUAAUAACAAAUUUCUAGAUGAAUAGCUUUUCAACAGUUCGCACAAAUCAUACUGUAUGACCUGAUAUAAUAAGAGUAUAUUUCAUUGAAUGAAAUCUAAUGUAAAAAAUUGUACAUGUACAUCAAAUUCAUUUAAAUUUGUAGACCCUUCAAAUCCUCCUUGUAUUUACACUGCAAAAUUUCAACUCGUCUAGGAAGCACAUCCACAACAUCAUAAGUUCAACACGACCGAAAACUUCAUUACAUGAAUUUGUAACAUCACCAAAUUAGCAUGAGGAUAAGAUCUCUUUGACAUACCUCAAAAGAAGUUGCACAAAAUGCUACAGCUUAACGACCCCAUCAUGCAACCUCAAGCUCUG